UUGCUAAUAAUAUUUUUAUUAAAUAAAACGUUCGCAUAUAUCGAGCAAGAUAUUGAAAAAAUAUUGUUGCCGGCAUGGAAUUCAAGCGCAAAAGAAAUACCACUAACUCUGAAAAUUUUUGGAAAAGUAAUUCAAUUAAACCUGCGUAGAAACGAGCGGAUUGUAUCGUCCAAGUUUGAGGCAUGGAAACGUGAUGCAAAAAACAUUACAGAAGAACUUAUUCCGCAAUUAUACACAUCUGAUUCUUGCUAUUAUUUUCACAAAAAUCAUAUCAGCACGGCGGCCAUAAACUUUUGUCAACAACAUGGAUGGGAAGGAUUCGUUUUUCUGAAACAUGAAACAUUGGAAAUUAGACCUUUGCAAAUUGACUUUGCGUUUUUGACCACAAUCGACGAUCUUUGCGUUAAAGAAGUGAUAAAUAUAUCAUUUGGCAGACCUCACUUAAUUAAAAGAACAUCGCGAUUAUCUGCUGGUCCAAACUUUCGUAAAUUUGAUAAUUUUAAAAUAAAGCGACGUCAUGUACGAAAUACGCAAGGAAAAUUAACUAUAGAACUGGCUGUGUUCUUCGACGAAGCCGCAUAUCGAACGUUCAUG